CAGCCGCCGCGUUAAUACGUAGGGUGCGAGCGUUAAUCGGAUUUACUGGGCGUAAAGCGUGCGCAGGCGGCCCGUUAAGACAGGUGUGAAAUCCCUGGGCUCAACCUAGGAAUUGCGCUUGUGACUGGCGGGCUCGAGUACGGUAGAGGGGGGUGGAAUUCCUGGUGUAGCAGUGAAAUGCGUAGAGAUCAGGAGGAACACCGAUGGCGAAGGCAGCCCCCUGGGCCUGUACUGACGCUCAUGCACGAAAGCGUGGGGAGCAAACAGGAUUAGAUACCCUGGUAGUCCACGCCCUAAACGAUGGGUACUAGCCGUUUGGUGCGCGAUAGCGCUGAGUGGCGAAGCUAACGCGUGAAGUACCCCGCCUGGGGAGUACGGCCGCAAGGUUGAAACUUAAAGGAAUUGGCGGG
rnacentral:rRNA from 1 species